GUGACGUCAAGUCCUCAUGGCCCUUAUGGGUAGGGCUUCACACGUCAUACAAUGGUCGGUACAGAGGGUUGCCAACCCGCGAGGGGGAGCUAAUCCCACAAAGCCGAUCGUAGUCCGGAUCGCAGUCUGCAACUCGACUGCGUGAAGUUGGAAUCGCUAGUAAUCGUGAAUCAGAAUGUCACGGUGAAUACGUUCCCGGGCCUU
rnacentral:rRNA from 1 species